AACCAGCUCUUCAAGUGGUCGGAAAAAUUAUUGGGCUUAAAGUGUCCGUAGCCGGUUUGAUAAGUUCCUGGUUAAAUCUGACAGCUUAACUGUCAGUCUGCUAGGAAUACUAUCUUACUAGAGGGCGGGAAAGGUCUGAGGUACUCCAGGGGUAGCGGUGAAAUGCGAUAAUCCUUGGGGGACCACCAGUGGCGAAGGCGUCAGACUGGAACGCGCCUGACGGUGAGGGACGAAAGCCAGGGGAGCGAAC
rnacentral:rRNA from 1 species